CGCUGGCGGCGUGCCUAACACAUGCAAGUCGAACGGAGAUAAGUUGAAGGCUUGCCGGAUACUUAUCUUAGUGGCGGACGGGCGAGUAACGCGUGAGCAACCUGCCUUGUACUGGGGGAUAACGUCGGGAAACCGGCGCUAAUACCGCAUAACACUACGAAAUCGCAUGGUUUUGUAGUCAAAGCUCCGGCGGUACAAGAUGGGCUCGCGUCCGAUUAGCUAGUUGGUAGGGUAACGGCCUACCAAGGCGACGAUCGGUAGCCGAACUGAGAGGUUGAUCGGCCGCAUUGGGACUGAGACACGGCCCAGA
rnacentral:rRNA from 1 species